rnacentral:misc_RNA from 1 species
GAUGAAGAACGUAGCGAAAUGCGAUACUUGGUGUGAAUUGCAGAAUCCCGUGAACCAUCGAGUCUUUGAACGCAAGUUGCGCCUCAAGCCAUUAGGUUGAGGGCACGUCUGCCUGGGCGUCACAUAUCGUUGCCUGAUGCCAGUUUCCUCGUGAUGGGUGACUGUGCAGGGCGAAUGAUGGCUUCCCGUGAGCAUUGUUGCCUCAUGGUUGGUUGAAAAUUGAGUCCUUGGUAGGGCGCGCCGUGAUAGAUGGUGGUUGAGUGACGAACGAGACCCAAUCAUGUGAGACCCCUACCGAAUUUGGCCUUCAUGACCCACAUGCGUCUUUGGAACGCUCAUGACGAGACCUCAGGUCAGGCGGGGCUACCCGCUGAGUUUAAGCAUAUCAAUAAGCGGAGGA